CUAGAAAUGGACCUUACCAUAAGCAGCUCUCAGGGGUUAGCUGAUGAUACAGAUAAUAUGCGCUCCAGGUUGUACCAGCCAAAUGUCCUGCAAACUCUCUGAAGAUAGCCGGGUGCUUUAAUUAAGCAUCUUUUUUCUAUCACUACAUUAAUGCUUACCAGCAUGAUUUUGUAGGUAUAUAGGACCAUGCCUAUUAGGAGCAAGUUUCAGAUCCUGGGAAAUAUUCACAUUGUCAUGUUCAGUGAAGAAUGUGAAGCACAGAAUUUCACACAGGAUAAGAUCACAAUUAUGCAUGAAAUAUACAGAAACAUUUUUCCAAAUUUUCUAUCAUGAGCAUGUAUUACUUUCAUAAUUUUGGCUGGAAAAAUGUUUUUUAAACAGGCUUUGAUAUUUCUGAUUUUAGUUGCUGUUCUGUACAAACAAAACUCAAGCUAGUGAAACAAAUUAUCUCAUCCAUUCAUUUCUCCAUUUAUCUCCUCUCUCAGUUACAGACCAGGGAGGUAAAU